rnacentral:misc_RNA from 1 species
UAAAAAUCAAAAGAUAAUAAAACACUAAAUUUUUUUAAAAUUUUGAAGAUCAUGUAUUUAAAUGUAACUAAACUAAGAGAAUACCUUCUUGAGUUUACAAUUCUGCCUCUGCUUACAAAUUCACACAACUUAAAAAAAUAAAUGAAAUAAAUGUAAAUCCAAACUAGAGACUCCACCUAUAGAACUACAUAAACUAUGAAUUCAUUAAAGUUCACUUGUGGAACUAAAAUGCCAAAAUCAAAACAUCAAGUGGAAUAGACUGAAAUUCCUCCUCAGAGUUUGAAUAGCAUGGAAGAGAUCUGUCUGACAGACAGCCCAAGGAUUUUGCAAUUCAUUCCACUGAAAUAAGUAUUGCUGGAGUUAUUAAAUAAAACUUACAUCAUAUGCAAUUCUCCACGUGCUAUGCAACUGAAUCUUGUGUGUUGACCUUAUAAUUUCCAAAAUUUGAAAGAAUUAUAUUGACAAAUUUGCAGAAAGGUUAUAAAAGAUAUGAACAGACAAUUUGAAAUCCAUUUCUUUUGGUUCGCUCUCAGCAGCUUUGGAAGAAUACAAAUUAGUAUUAUAUGGAAGUGGAAGAAUCACCUUAUUGAUUCUUGAUUUCAUCGAUACUCGCAUCCUGUGAGCUGUUGCAUCCAACUAUAGCUUCAGUUGCAGAACCCGGUGUAUGAUAUGAGGAUGAUUUACCAUUCUUACCAUGCAAUCCCGAAUAGCGAGCAAGAUCAACCCAUUGCUGCAGCAUGCAAAGCAAAAGAAAAUUAACCUCGUUCUAAAGAAAACAAUUUAUUCAAAGACAAUUGCUAUUGUCAGUUAUGCUGGGUGUUGGUCUCAGCAGAAAAGGGAGAACCGAGACAGGGUCAUGUUACGUAGACACAACAUUACUAAAAAAGACAAAAAUAAAAUAAAGUUGUACCAAAAAAUAUAACAAUAAAUAAAGGAUUCAAAAGCAAAAUCAUUGUUGGUUGUGAUGGUGAGGACUCAUAAAAAAUGCUGGGACUGGAUAAUGGUACUGCACCAUGCGGUGUAGUCCAUUAAUUAACCUCAAGAAGCAGUUACUCACUAAGGGAAACCAAGCUCUGCUACAAUACUGCAUGCUAAUAGAGAUGGACGAAAUACAUCCCCUCAUUUUAUAUAAGUUUCAUCGUCUCAAAUCUCAAUAGCGGCAUUUCUCUUCAGAUCAGUAUGUACAAAUACUAAUCAUCUUUGACUAUAGCUUUCCAAGAAAAUGUAUUACUUUAAAUAAUCUUUCAAAAUAGUUUAUAUAUAAGUAAAGUCAUAACAUCUAGCUAUGCUUAUGCUAGAACUUGCAGCAAAUUGGGAGGGCUCUAACCUGUGUUCCCCAGUAGGAGUUUAUAGUCCGAGCAACAAAUGAUAGCAUAUUUACAAGUAAUAUCUGAGAUGCAAAUGCAUCAGAAAUCCGAUGCUCAACUACACCAGCAAUCAUCUGGUAACGCAGAUUUGCUGAAAUUCCAAGGAAGCAUCCAUAAACAACUGCUGUUUUAAGUAUUGGUGAUCUUCUAGUUCGUUGAUUAGUAACCAAUGCUGGGUUAAUCAUUUUGCGAAUUGCAUACAACAUAUUCGAGGCAGCCACAGCCCCAAUACUGGAGAUAAAUCCAACACAAGAAAGUUUCAGACCACCCAAAAGCACUGAUGCAAAUCUGUGACUAAGAUUCCAGUCCUUCCCUGGGAGAUUCUUUUGAAAUGCAUUAUCAGGGAUGGACCCAAGAAGACCCUUCAAAACAUCCAUGCUGUCAGGCCCAUUCGUCUCAUCAGCAUAUGAAAGGAAUGACAGAGUUGGGGCAGGAAGCCACACAGUAAAAAAAUCAACCACCGAUCCUCUGGCAGUGUCUGUAAUUACAUAAUCAAGCUCUUCAAAGAAAUUUUCUUUACGCCUUUCAUACUGUGCUAAGAGAGUAGUGGUUAUUGAUAUGGCUUCUUCUAUAGCUAAUCUAUGCAAGAAUUUGGGAUCUGCCAACAGUCUUUCCCUGAAACCUCUGCACCAAAAAUAGCUGUGGUCAAGUUGAGCAUCUCUACAAUUUCACCUUCCCUACCAUCAACUAUUCUUUUCCAUAGCAUCACUUAUUGAACAAAAGAUGAGGCUCUACUUGCACAAUGAAAGGUUUUCGCUAAGCAUGCACAGUAAUCUCAUGCUGGACAAUUUUUCACUUCCAGAAAGCAAGCAUACCUCGAAACUAUGACCAAGUUCCUUAAGCAGAGGAUAUUGCUCUAGAUUGAAGAAAUUCUGUAGUACCUCCGGUAAUACUAAAUCAAGAUUAAGUCCUUCCUGAAUGUCCUGGGGUAGGGCAUCUUGCCUCCUGCCAGCUGCAUUCAUUACUCGAGCAAUUUCUACUGCAGGAUGUGGCAGCAGAAUACCACACAAAAAUCAGCAACAGGAACUUCUCCCUCUCUUCGAAUGAAUUGCCUUUCAGGAUCAAGUAAUAUAACUACUUGGUUCUUCUCUUGUAUCUUUUUGGAAAUUCUAGCUGGCAGCCCAGUACCUUUUGAUCCAUACAUAAAAUGGCUUGCACCUGUCACCAAUACAAGCAUAUUGGUGGCUCCUCCAUCAAACAUUGCUUGUAAAAUAAUUUGGGACAUAGUGUAAUCCUCAACUACUCUUGCUUGUGCAGACAAAUAGGAGCUUGGCCCAAAAGGAACAGAUUGAUUUGGAGAGUUCACAUCAAUUGACCUGCGUGAAAUUGAAGUGAAUCCUGAGAUAAAGCCUGAACCAGCUGGAGGAGCAUACAGUUUACGGUCAGCCAUUGAAAGCCCACGAAUACCUUCAGCUUGGACUGUCCGUAUAACCUUGAGUGGAGUACCACAAGCAACAAUCCUAACUCCAUUAUCACGACAAUAACUCAAAAGAGGUUCAUAUUCUUGCCAUCUUUGAGGCGGCCAAUGUGAUAAAUAAGACUUCAAGGUUUCUCCAUCUAUGCUUCUGUUCAUGUAUUGAUUGAGCUGCUGCUGCAAGUCACAAGGGAAUGCCUCCAUGGCUAAAGAAAUGGAUUUCUCCCUCUCAACGCAUCGUUUCCUCAAAUUCUCAACAAUUUCGAGCUCCAAUUCCUUAUCGUCUUUUACAGGCACUUGCUCCGCUUCACCUAGAUACACAAUCCUCGCAUUCAUUAGCUUCUCCCACAUUUUCCUCUUGUCCUUCCCCAACGCCAUCGGCUCUCCUAUCGCCGCCGCGUCAUAAAUCCUUGAACUUAUCUCCGCUGUUGCUGCCGCAGUCACCGCCUUCUCCUCAGCUUCCACCAGCAGCGGCUGAGUAGGAGGAGAAAAUGAAGAUUCCGGAGACUUGUUGACGUCUGCAGCUUUCGACGUGGCGGAUUGGAGGACAGACGCGCCGAGAGCAAGGAGUGGAGUAAGCAACACGCGGCGCCGGCUUGCGGUUUGAGUUUGACCAUCGGCGGGUGAUUCGGGGGCACAUUGGCGGCGGGAACGGAUAGAGAGGGAAACGUGGCGCGGUAACUUUCUGGAGGGAAAU